rnacentral:tRNA from 1 species
GCCGAGGUGGUGAAAUUGGUAGACACGCUAGCUUCAGGUGUUAGUGGAGCAAUCCGUGGAGGUUCGAGUCCUCUCCUCGGCACCA